GAUGAAGAACGCAGCGAAAUGCGAUACUUGGUGUGAAUUGCAGAAUCCCGUGAACCAUCGAGUCUUUGAACGCAAGUUGCGCCCGAAGCCAUUAGUCCGAGGGCACGCCUGCCUGGGCGUCACACGUCGUUGCCCCCCCAUCUACUCCUUCGGGAUUGCGGGGGGCGGAUGAUGGCCUCUCGUGCGCCUCGUCGCGCGGUUGGCCUAAAUGCCAAGUCCUCGGCGACGCACGCCACGACAAUCGGUGGUUGCGAAACCUCGGUUGCCUGUCGUGUGCGGUCGUCGCGCAUCGAGGGCUCGAAAAAAUUGCCGGGCUUCGGCUCGACUUUCAACGCGACCCCAGGUCAGGCGGGGUUACCCGCUGAAUUUAAGCAUAUCAAUAAGCGGAGGA
rnacentral:misc_RNA from 1 species